rnacentral:lncRNA from 1 species
AUGGAAGGGGGAGACGCUAGGAGGGUGUAUUUAAAAAAAAAUCUUAAAAGCCUGCAAAACGAUCGAAGAGUGAAAACUAUUGUUGGAACGAGUUGGUUUUUACCUCAACAGCGCCACCUUUCGGCAAAGAUUGCUUACGGGAUGGUCUCAACGUGGAAAGUGGAUUCUGAAAAGGAAAAAAAAAAAACCCUGCAACUUGGCAUCUGUGCCUUUGUGAAGGACCAUGGUAGCAAGCGCGUCUCUGACCAGCGUCGGGGGACUUGUCUGUGUCAGGUUUGUUUGGUUGGUGGGUUCCCGUCGGGCCCCCAAAGUUCUGCCUUAGAGCACAAUGCAUGUUUAAUAAUAUCCUGGUUUGUUGCGCACGAGGGAUGUGAAAGAUGCAGUCGUCUUCUCCGGUGGGAAUCCCUGGGACGGCCUCCCCCCGAGUUACCCCAGCCUCCUCCAUUUCCUCGCCCGAGAGAGACACCCAGUGUGGCCUGGCACACGGGCAGCCAGGAGUAAAGGCGUGGGCACACCCGAGCAUCUGAAUGGGAGGGCCGACUUCCUUCGGGUUUAGGCACGAGCUGGAGACCCAAAAUGGGAAGGCCUCUUUCCUGCCUCUCGCCAUUCCAAAGCAACAGAUUUUCAUGCCUUUCUUUUUUUGUUUGCUUCUUUCCUCUCCACGCCAGGAUGCAGCCAUUUCCCUAGAAUUUUCUUCUCCUUCCAUUAGGGACUGCUCGCAAGUUCACCAGUCCAUCGUUACCCCUUCUGAUCCUAUUCGCAGCUACCCCAAGGAGGCAAUCUGUCUCGAAAGCACUCAACCCUGCAAAGAUUUAUUGUACUGAAAUCAGAACUGAUAGGGGGAAAAAAAAAAAAAAAAAGGCAGGAAUUUUAAAAAGGGAGCUGGUAUUGGGACAGUGUUAGUUUGGGCAGUGUCUUCCAACGCAGGAGGACUCGGAGGACAGGCUGGUGGUGCUGCUGCCUCUGUAAGGUUUUGGUUACCGUCCUUCCUACCCUAGGCUGUGGGAAGAUUCUUAGGUCCUGUUCCAGAGGCGUGCAGCAGCCAUUCCACCCAGGAGAGGGACAUGGAGUUCUAGAAAACACAGGCCAAACUUAACCACUCGUGUGAUGACCAGAGGCGUCUGGUGAUACAGAUGAUUUUUUUUUGGUCUUUUUAGGGGCACGCCCAAGGCAUAUGGAAGUUCCCAAGCCAGGGGUCGAAUCAGAGCUAUAGUCACCUGCCUACCCCACAGCCACAGCAAGGCCAGAUUUGAGCAUCAUCUGCAACCUAUAGCACAGCUCACAGCAACGCCGGAUCCUUAACCCACUGAGCGAGGCCAGGGAUCGAACCUGCGUCCUCAUGAUACUAGUCAGGUUCCUGCUGAGCCGUGGCGGGAACUCCCAGAUGAUUUCUGAAGCUGUGUGUUUCUGAAUCUGUAUGGCGGGGUCCGAGAGGAGAGGUUCCUGGUGGCCCCAUGUUACGACUUUGCUCCUGGUUGUGUGACGGGUUUUGCUGAGACGUCUCACGUGUUGUUCUCUUCGCUGAGACGACUAAACAUGCUCCGUGACACCCUCAUGGUAGCAGCCAGCAUGACAGUUCCAGUCGCCUUGGGCUCCACAACCCUGCCACCCCCAAUGAAAAUUAAAGGCAAGCUUUUAGAUCUUUUGCUGGGAUUCUCAUUGAGUCAUUUUAUAACAGGGAUCCAUGCUGCCUGUUAAAAAGAAACAUUUGAACAAGACAGAAAUGGAAUGUCAAAAAAAAAGGACCACGCUUCCUCAUCUCCAUCCUGUCCCCUAACUGUGGCCUCAGGUGUUACCAUCCCUGAUUAUCUGGGUCCGUGUGUGUUUUUCUUAGGGAGCAGAAUCGCAGUAGGCACAGACUUCUCCAACGUCUGCUCUGCAGCACAUCCACCCGAAGGAUCUCGAAGAGCAGUGCAGGGCACUCCUCUGUUCUUUGGCAGGACUGACGUUGGAGGAUCUCAGACUAGGGGGAGGUUAGAAAGCUGACCUAUCACUCGCCUCCGAACCAGUGUACGAUCGGAAUCUGCUUUGCGCAUGACUCUGACUGCGGGGCCGGCUGCACUCAGCACAGCAGCUCGGGGCCCAGGAAACAUUUUCAUUUCUUCUAAAAUGAGAGUUAAAGAAAUGAAAAUCAUCCAGCCUGGAUUAUACCUGUCAUUAUACCAACAGUCAUCAAAGUAAUUAAGUUCUCAUCUGUAUGUGUAACUGGGUCACCAUGCUGUACAGUAGGAAAAAAAAAAAACUGUAUUGGGGAAAUAACAAUAAAAAUUUUUUUUAAAAAAAUAAUUAAGUUCUU